rnacentral:rRNA from 1 species
GGAAUAUUGCACAAUGGGGGAAACCCUGAUGCAGCGACGCCGCGUGAGUGAAGAAGUAAUUCGUUACGUAAAGCUCUAGCAGCAGGGAAGAAAUACUGACCUUACGGUCAGCAGACGGUACCUGAGUAAGAAGCCCCGGCUAACUACGUGCCAGCAGCCGCGGUAAUACGUAGGGGGCAAGCGUUAUCCGGAUUUACUGGGUGUAAAGGGAGCGUAGACGGCGUGCCAAGUCUGGUGUGAAAGGCCGGGGCUCAACCCCGGGACUGCAUUGGAAACUGGCAUGCUGGAGUGCCGGAGGGGCAAGCGGAAUUCCUAGUGUAGCGGUGAAAUGCGUAGAUGUUAGGAGGAACACCGGUGGCGAAGGCGGCUUGCUGGACGGUAACUGACGUUGAGGCUCGAAAGCGUGGGGAGCAAACAG